rnacentral:rRNA from 1 species
GACAGAGGGGCCGAGCGUUAGGCGGAAUCACUGGGCUUAAAGCGUGUGUAGGCGGGGCGUUAAGUGUGUUGUGAAAUCCCACCGCUCAACGGUGGAACGGCUGGGCAUACUGGCGACCUUGAGAGGCCUAGGGGCAGACGGAACAAAUGGUGGAGCGGUGAAAUGCGUAGAUAUCAUUUGGAACGCCAAUGGUGAAAACAGCUGACUGGGAGUGUGCUGACGCUGAGACACGAAAGCCAGGGGAGCGAACGGG